UCGUCCUUGUCCGGCCGCAAAUUCAACUUGUAACUCGUGUGGCAUACUUGGUCAUUUCUCUAGAGUGUGUCGAAAGAAAGAAUCGCGUCGUUUUUCCAAGCCACAAAUAGCACAAGAAUCGCCUCGACAACGAGAACAACCAAAAGAGCCGUUUAAAUUUGAAACCAUGAGAAACAAGCGAAGAAAUCGUGUACGGGCUGUCAACAAACAUCUCGAUUCAUCGACGGAGACCAGUUCUGAGGAAGAUUAUGUUUAUAAUGUGGAAAACAAAACCGACCCAAAGACGAGAGCAAAAAUACGAGUUAAUUCUGUUGAAAUCAAUUUCAU